rnacentral:rRNA from 1 species
UACGUAGGGGGCAAGCGUUGUCCGGAUUUAUUGGGCGUAAAGAGCUCGUAGGCGGUGUGUCGCGUCGGCCGUGAAACCUGCAGCUUAACUGUGGCUUGCGGUCGAUACGGGCAUCACUGGAGUUCGGCAGGGAGACUGGAAUUCCGUGGUGUAGCGGUGAAAUGCGCAGAUAUCAGGAGGAACACCGGUGGCGAAGGCGGGUCUCUGGGCCGAUACUGACGCUGAGGAGCGAAAGCGUGGGGAGCGAACAGG